rnacentral:rRNA from 1 species
AUAUCAGUCAGCGGUGGAAAAGAAACCAACUGGGAUACCCUCAGUAAUGGCGAGUGAAGGGGGUAGAGUCCAACCUCAAAGGGUUAAUAACCCGUUGUGGGGUUUGAGGAUUAGGUUUUUUGUUGUUUCUUAAGAUAGUGUUAAGUCCAUUGGAAAGUGGCGCCAUAGAAGGUGAUAGCCCUGUUAACUUUUUAUCUUAAAGCAACAAAGUUACUGGUCUUCUUGAGUCGAGCUGCUUGGGAGUGCAGCUCUAAAUGGGCGGUAAAGGACAUCCAAGACUAAAUACAGAGCAAGAGACCGAUAGCGCACAAGUA